GACUGGCUGGCCAGGGAGCCGGAUUGACACAGGAAGUUCAGAGCCGCUAUAAUAGCGGAGUGCAGGAGCCGCCCCCGGCAGGUGGCGUUGAUAUUCGGGUCCCGAGCAAUGAGAGCCUACGAACCGUGUCAGGUCAGGAAUGAAGCAGCACUAAGUGGGAAUUCCCGUGUGCCUCGGGGGCGCCUGGGUUGAGUUAACCACCGGGGUAACGUCCUGCGUUUUUUAUUCCCAGUC
rnacentral:SRP_RNA from 1 species